AAUAUACCAGAAUGCUGAACUGGACACUCUCAGAAUUGCACAUUCUUCCAACCAAGCACAGCCUAUAAACCAAUGAAGUCUGAUGCCACAAAGAAGAAACAUUUAUUUGAAUGCACUGUUUUAUCUCCCUAAAAUAAUAAAAUGAAUUCUAUUUUUGUCAGAUGCUUAAUCAGUAGACAACUCCCUCCUCCCUCUCCUGGGUCUGAGAUGAGGCCAUCUAAUUUCCCAGUCUGCCCUACUGGAGAAAUACCUGGAGGGAGGAAGAAGAAGGGAAAAUGGCAGAUUGAGGAUUGAUUUAUUUAUGGUACUGCGAUAACUCUUCCUGGAAACAGAAAUGGGUGUGGGAAAUGACCUCUUCUUUACUUCUCCCCUAUUGAAUCCACUGACAAUGAAGGUGUCACUGCAUGGUCUUUCAAGAACAGGAUCAAGGCUCAUAGAUGGAAGGGACUUGUCUCAGAUGAGACUUUGGACUGUGGACUUUUGAGUUAAUGCUGAAAUGAAUUCAGAUUUUGGGAGACUGUGGAGAAGGGAUGAUUGUAUUUUGCAACGUGAGAAGAACAUGAGACUUGGGAGGGGGCAAGGGUGGAAUGAUAUGGUUUGGAUUUGCAUCCCCACCCAAAUCUCACAUAUGAAUUGUAAUCUCCAAUGUUGGAGGAGGUGAUUGGAUCAUGGGGACAGACUUUCCCCUUGCUGUUUUCAUGAUAGUGUGUUCUCAUGAGAUCUGGUUGUUUAAAAAUGUGUAGCACAUCCCCUUUCACUCUCUUUCACCUGCUUAUGCCAUGUAAGAUGUGCCUGCUUCCUCUUUGCCUUCCAUCAUGAUUGUAAGUUUCCUGAGGCCUCUCCAGCCACACUUCCUGUACAGUCUGCAGAACUGUGAGUCAAUUAAACC
rnacentral:lncRNA from 10 species